UAGGGAAUCUUCGGCAAUGGGGGGAACCCUGACCGAGCAACGCCGCGUGAGUGAAGAAGGUUUUCGGAUCGUAAAGCUCUGUUGUUAAGGAAGAACGAGUGUGAGAAUGGAAAGUUCAUGCUGUGACGGUACUUAACCAGAAAGGGACGGCUAACUACGUGCCAGCAGCCGCGGUAAUACGUAGGUCCCGAGCGUUGUCCGGAUUUAUUGGGCGUAAAGCGAGCGCAGGCGGUUAGAAAAGUCUGAAGUGAAAGGCAGUGGCUCAACCAUUGUAGGCUUUGGAAACUGUUUAACUUGAGUGCAGAAGGGGAGAGUGGAAUUCCAUGUGUAGCGGUGAAGUGCGCAGAGAUAUGGAGGAACACCAGUGGCGAAGGCGACUUUCUGGUCUGUAACUGACGCUGAUGUGCGAAAGCGUGGGGAUCAAACAGG
rnacentral:rRNA from 1 species